UUCCUCAUUGUCUCUGUCAUUUUAUUCUUCUUCAAAUUUCCUAUUAUCUUCUUCUUUUCCCAGUCUUCCUCUCCCUCUUCCUCUUCCACUCUCUGCCUCAUCUGCUUCAAAUCUUCCUUCUCUCCUCUUCCUAUCUUUGUCGCAUCUCCUUUCGAUCUCACACGUUGGAUCCCUCUCUUCAUUGCUGGAUCGUCAUUUUAUCUCACUGCUCAAGUCUUCAUCUUUGAUCUUAAACUUGCUUAGGCACUCAGUCUCUCCAUUUCAGCUCUUCCAGCUCAUUUGGGUUUACAUCUGUCACAAACUGACCAGUUUCCAUUCCUAGCGCAGAGGAAGAUUUAGUAAACAUGCCUUCUAUGGAAGCAAAAAGAUGCCCGUAACAUGAGCAAGGAUGACUUGAGCUGUAACUUUUAACAUGAUCUCUUUUCCUACUUAUGUGUCUGCUAAUUAUGAAUUCUUUUAAUCAUUUUCUUGACCCAAGUAGUUGAAUUAGUUGUCAAGGAUCUUCUCACUGUAGCUGGUAAACACAAAUAUUGAUUAUGGGCAUUAACCCCUUCUGAAUAAGUAACUAAUGAGUUUGACCCAAUGUCAUCUCGUACUCCCUCAAGAUCCUGUUGAAAUAUCGUACCUCAUCCUGUGCCUGUCCAAAAAUAAUACCAUCAUUUGCAAAUAAUAAACGUGAGACUAAGGGAGCACCCUGGCAGAUUUGAACAGCAUGGAUAGCUCUCUCCCGUAUGACCUCCCAAAUCAUGGCGUAGAAACCCUUUGCACAAAGAAUAAAUUGUUUUUGUAAGAUAAUUAUUCACCCACAUGGACUCAGAAACAAUGUAACACAUUCCAUUACUAAAUACACAAAAGAUCAAUCAAACCCCAAUUUUUUAACAUGAUAUCCCGAAGAUAUAGCCACACAAUUUAUUAACAUCUAAUCUAAGAGUAAAAUACUGGGUAUUUCUAAAAUUGGUACAUCUCCUCAUAAAAUGGAACAACUCUAAACUUACUAAUGCAUGAUCAGUAAUCAAGCAACCAAGUAUAAAAGCUGAUUGAGGCUCGUGAACAAUUUCAGACAAACAUAAUCUCGGCCUAUUAGCAAUACAUUUGGUUACUAAUUUCAUUACAAAAUUGCAGAGACUAAUACGACAAAAAUCUGAAGAGGUACUUGUAUUUUGGUAUGGAAAAAAUAGAGGUAUAUGUCACAUCUCCUGAAGAAGGAAAAUCUAAUUUGUAACGAGCAAACUUCUAAAACUCCCGUCAGAAAAUCUUACCAGAGAAGGCAAAUGAACCCAAAACCAGGCAAGUAACUGGGACCCGCCUGCUACUGACAGUAGGGAAAAAGAACCCUAAAUCAAGUACCAUAAGUAACCAUCUAUGUAAUUAAUAUGUCCACUUCCCUCCCU
rnacentral:lncRNA from 1 species